rnacentral:misc_RNA from 1 species
GAUGAAGAACGUAGCGAAAUGCGAUAAGUAAUGUGAAUUGCAGAAUUCAGUGAAUCAUCGAAUCUUUGAACGCACCUUGCGCUCCUUGGUAUUCCGAGGAGCAUGCCUGUUUGAGUGUCAUUAAAUUCUCAACCAUACACGUUUCUUGAAGCUGGUAUGGCUUGGAUCUUGGAACCUGUCGGCUUUUCGCAAAGUCGGCUGUCCUUAAAAGCAUUAGCAGAGCUUUUGCCGCUAACCUCUGGUGUGAUAAUUAUCUACGCCGUUGAGUUGCGACAUCUCGAGGCUCAGCUUCUAACCGUCCUGCACGGGACAACACAUGACAAAUCUGACCUCAAAUCAGGUAGGACUACCCGCUGAACUUAAGCAUAUCAAUAAGCGGAGGA